rnacentral:rRNA from 1 species
UACGGGGGGGGCAAGCGUUGUUCGGAAUUACUGGGCGUAAAGGGCUCGUAGGCGGCCAACUAAGUCAGACGUGAAAUCCCUCGGCUUAACCGGGGAACUGCGUCUGAUACUGGAUGGCUUGAGUUUGGGAGAGGGAUGCGGAAUUCCAGGUGUAGCGGUGAAAUGCGUAGAUAUUAGGUGGAACACCGGUGGCGAAGGCGGGCACCUGGGCCAACAUUGACACUUAGACUCGAAAGCGUGGGGAUCAAACAGG